UUUGGACGAGGGGCCCCUCUCGGGUUACCGAAUUCAGACAAACUCCGAAUGCCAAUUAAUUUAACUUGGGAGUCAGAACAUGGGUGAUAAGGUCCGUGUUCGAAAGGGAAACAGCCCAGACCACCAGCUAAGGUCCCAAAAUAUAUGUUAAGUGGAAAAGGAUGUGGCGUUGCCCAGACAACUAGGAUGUUGGCUUAGAAGCAGCCAUCAUUUAAAGAGUGCGUAAUAGCUCACUAGUCGAGUGACACUGCGCCGAAAAUGUACCGGGGCUAAACAUAUUACCGAAGCUGUGGAUUGUCCUUUGGACAAUGGUAGGAGAGCGUUCUAAGGGCGUUGAAGCAUGAUCGUAAGGACAUGUGGAGCGCUUAGAAGUGAGAAUGCCGGUGUGAGUAGCGAAAGACGGGUGAGAAUCCCGUCCACCGAUUGACUAAGGUUUCCAGAGGAAGGCUCGUCCGCUCUGGGUUAGUCGGGUCCUAAGCUGAGGCCGACAGGCGUAGGCGAUGGAUAACAGGUUGAUAUUCCUGUACCACCUAUAAUCGUUUUAAUCGAUGGGGGGACGCAGUAGGAUAGGCGAAGCGUGCGAUUGGAUUGCACGUCUAAGCAGUAAGGCUGAGUAUUAGGCAAAUCCGGUACUCGUUAAGGCUGAGCUGUGAUGGGGAGAAGACAUUGUGUCUUCGAGUCGUUGAUUUCACACUGCCGAGAAAAGCCUCUAGAUAGAAAAUAGGUGCCCGUACCGCAAACCGACACAGGUAGUCAAGAUGAGAAUUCUAAGGUGAGCGAGCGAACUCUCGUUAAGGAACUCGGCAAAAUGACCCCGUAACUUCGGGAGAAGGGGUGCUCUUUAGGGUUAACGCCCAGAAGAGCCGCAGUGAAUAGGCCCAAGCGACUGUUUAUCAAAAACACAGGUCUCUGCUAAACCGUAAGGUGAUGUAUAGGGGCUGACGCCUGCCCGGUGCUGGAAGGUUAAGAGGAGUGGUUAGCUUCUGCGAAGCUACGAAUCGAAGCCCCAGUAAACGGCGGCCGUAACUAUAACGGUCCUAAGGUAGCGAAAUUCCUUGUCGGGUAAGUUCCGACCCGCACGAAAGGCGUAACGAUUUGGGCACUGUCUCAACGAGAGACUCGGUGAAAUCAUAGUACCUGUGAAGAUGCAGGUUACCCGCGACAGGACGGAAAGACCCCGUGGAGCUUUACUGUAGCCUGAUAUUGAAAUUCGGCACAGCUUGUACAGGAUAGGUAGGAGCCUUUGAAACGUGAGCGCUAGCUUACGUGGAGGCGCUGGUGGGAUACUACCCUAGCUGUGUUGGCUUUCUAACCCGCACCACUUAUCGUGGUGGGAGACAGUGUCAGGCGGGCAGUUUGACUGGGGCGGUCGCCUCCUAAAAGGUAACGGAGGCGCUCAAAGGUUCCCUCAGAAUGGUUGGAAAUCAUUCAUAGAGUGUAAAGGCAUAAGGGAGCUUGACUGCGAGACCUACAAGUCGAGCAGGGUCGAAAGACGGACUUAGUGAUCCGGUGGUUCCGCAUGGAAGGGCCAUCGCUCAACGGAUAAAAGCUACCCCGGGGAUAACAGGCUUAUCUCCCCCAAGAGUUCACAUCGACGGGGAGGUUUGGCACCUCGAUGUCGGCUCAUCGCAUCCUGGGGCUGUAGUCGGUCCCAAGGGUUGGGCUGUUCGCCCAUUAAAGCGGUACGCGAGCUGGGUUCAGAACGUCGUGAGACAGUUCGGUCCCUAUCCGUCGUGGGCGUAGGAAAUUUGAGAGGAGCUGUCCUUAGUACGAGAGGACCGGGAUGGACAUACCUCUGGUGUACCAGUUGUCGUGCCAACGGCAUAGCUGGGUAGCUAUGUGUGGACGGGAUAAGUGCUGAAAG
rnacentral:rRNA from 1 species